rnacentral:lncRNA from 1 species
CUGUAGACAUCGCUAACAAACAUGGCCUCAAUUCUGGAAGCAUCCUAGCUGAAGCAGGUCUCUACCGUGACAUAGUGCUCCAUUACAGCUGGUCUUCAGAGGCAGAGUGAGCCCCACCAGCUGCAGCACAAGGUCAAAGAUGACAAAGAGAGCAUGUGCAGUAAUGUUUCCACACUGGUUUCCUGAACAUCCCUGCUGUACAAGCCUUUGUUAUUAGUGCCCUCUGUGCCAGGGGGAGAUUUUCAGGCUCCAGGGAGUUUAUUGGAAAAGGAAGUUUGUAGCGCCUUUCCUGAGGCCUAAAAUAUCUUAAUGUCCCUGCAAACAUCUGGUGGAUACUUUGAGGUGGAUCCUGUUAACAACCUGCACCAGGGAAGCUAAUGAUGAGGUGGGAAAGCCCUUUCCAUUGUCUGAGAAGACUGAACCUUUUAGACAGUCACUGCUCAAGCCUGAUUCAUUUCCAGAGCAGCUCCACUCAAUGUUCUGAAUGGAGAGAGAACUUCUGGAACCAGUACUGUGUACUCAGGUAAGUGAGGGUUAUCAUAAAACACAGAAGAAUAAUGGAUUGAAGUUCCACAGGAGUGGGCUGGCAUGCCGUUUUUAAUGAUAGUUUGCCUUUACAAUGUUAUUACACUAGGGUGUGUGGUUGCUGUUGGUGGUGGGUUUUAUUGUUUGUUUGUUUUGUUUGUUUGAUUGAUUGAUUUUGUUUCUAUUUUGUUUAGCAUUAGUUUCUUUUAAACCUGGACAAAUAUGAAGAAAAAUAGAUAAGAUCCCCUCAUAAAAGCCCACACAGGCUCUACAGCAUGGACAGAAUCUUUGGUUACUUGGCACAAAUUUUUGCUACCUGAAGUAACUGGGAGUGAAUAGAAUAACUGGGAGAAACAGAAGACUGUUAAUAAUAUUGUAUGUGAAUCAGCCUUUGGACAUGAAAGAGAAACAUGUUUUGCAUUCAGCAAAUAUUCUUGAAAUUUAAUGACACAGUGUAGUAACAAUGUCUCAUAAGUCUACAAGACCAGGUUGGAUGGGGCUUUGAGCAACAUGGUCUAGUGGGAGAGGUCCCUGCCCAUGGCAGGGGGGUUGGAACUGGAUGGUAUUUAAGGUCCCUUCCAACCCAAACCAUUCUGUGAUUCUACAAAGUGUUAGAUCUGCAUGGAGAACAUUCAUAUCACCAAGCUUUGGGCAUUUAUCCCAGUCACCAGGUUGCUCUCUAGUCAGUGAAAUAAGCUAGAUCUAUAGUUUGAUUCAAAAAUCUUAUUCCUUGUCCUAGUGCAAGAUCAACCUUUACUUGUUCCUUCCUGACAGAAAGUCUGAUCCAUCCUUAUAAAACUCACAGUUCCAUGAAAACUUCACAACCAACCAAGACAACCCAACAGUUCACAUUUCUUAGUGUUAAAAGGUUUUUCUAAUUCUUACAUAUAUUGUCAUCACUCCAAUUCAAGUGUGUUUUUUUUUUUUCAGUCUGUUUUUAAAUAAUCAUUUUGGUCCUAUCCACAGUGGACAUAGGUGAACGGCUUUCUCAGAGAGUGACUA